rnacentral:rRNA from 1 species
UACGGGGGGGGCAAGCGUUGUUCGGAAUUACUGGGCGUAAAGGGCUCGUAGGCGGCCAACUAAGUCAGACGUGAAAUCCCUCGGCUUAACCGGGGAACUGCCUCUGAUACUGGAUGGCUUGAGAUUGGGAGAGGGAUGCGGAAUUCCAGGUGUAGCGGUGAAAUGCGUAGAUAUCAGGAGGAACACCUGUGGCGAAGGCGGCUCUCUGGUCCCACACUGACGCUGAGGCGCGAAAGCGUGGGGAGCAAACAGG